rnacentral:tRNA from 5 species
GCACCCAUAGCUCAGCUGGAUAGAGCGUUGCCCUCCGAAGGCAAAGGUCAGAGGUUCAAAUCCUCUUGGGUGCACCA